UACGUAGGUGGCAAGCGUUGUCCGGAAUUAUUGGGCGUAAAGCGCGCGCAGGCGGCCUCUUAAGUCUGAUGUGAAAGCCCCCGGCUCAACCGGGGAGGGCCAUUGGAAACUGGGAGGCUUGAGUAUAGGAGAGAAGAGUGGAAUUCCACGUGUAGCGGUGAAAUGCGUAGAGACGUGGAGGAACACCAGUGGCGAAGGCGACUCUUUGGCCUAUAACUGACGCUGAGGCGCGAAAGCGUGGGGAGCAAACAGG
rnacentral:rRNA from 1 species